UGCCCAGACUCCUACGGGAGGCAGCAGUGGGGAAUAUUGCACAAUGGGGGGAACCCUGAUGCAGCAAUGCCGCGUGGGUGAAGAAGCACUCCGGUGCGUAAAGCCCUGUCAGCAGGGAAGAAAAUGACAGUACCUGACCAAGAAGCCCCGGCUAACUACGUGCCAGCAGCCGCGGUAAUACGUAGGGGGCAAGCGUUAUCCGGAUUUACUGGGUGUAAAGGGAGCGUAGACGGCAGCGCAAGUCUGAAGUGAAAUCCCAUGGCUUAACCAUGGAACUGCUUUGGAAACUGAGCAGCUAGAGUGCAGGAGAGGUAAGCGGAAUUCCUAGUGUAGCGGUGAAAUGCGUAGAUAUCAGGAGGAACACCGGUGGCGAAGGCGGCCUGCUGGACUGCAACUGACGUUGAGGCCCGAAAGCGUGGGGAGCAAACAGGAUUAGAUACCCGCGUACC
rnacentral:rRNA from 1 species